GGUGGCCUAGUGGUUAAAGCGCCCGCUUCGGAUGCGGGAGGUCGUGGGUUCGAUUCCCAGCAGAAUCC